CGUCCAGCCCGCUCAGAAACUCAAAUGAAGUUGACGGGGCCCGCACAAGCGGUGGAGUAUGUGGUUUAAUUCGAUGCAACGCGAAGAACCUUACCUGGUCUUGACAUCCCGGAGACCCUUAGGAAACUAGGGGGUGCUUCCAUCUGGAAGAAUCUGGAGACAGGUGCUGCAUGGCUGUCGUCAGCUCGUGUCGUGAGAUGUUGGGUUAAGUCCCGCAACGAGCGCAACCCUUGCCUUUAGUUGCCAGCAGUUCGGCUGGGCACUCUAAAGGGACUGCCGGUGUUAAACCGGAGGAAGGUGGGGAUGACGUCAAGUCCUCAUGGCCUUUAUGACCAGGGCUACACACGUACUACAAUGGCCGAUACAAAGGGCAGCGACACUGCGAGGUGAAGCCAAUCCCGUAAAAUCGGUCUCAGUCCGGAUUGGAGUCUGCAACUCGACUCCAUGAAGUUGGAAUCGCUAGUAAUCGUGGAUCAGCAUGCCACGGUGAAUACGUUCCCGGGCCUU
rnacentral:rRNA from 1 species